rnacentral:rRNA from 1 species
UACGUAGGGGGCAAGCGUUGUCCGGAAUUACUGGGCGUAAAGCGUGCGCAGGCGGUUUUGUAAGCCAGAUGUGAAAUCCCCGGGCUUAACCUGGGAAUGGCAUUUGGGACUGCAAGGCUGGAGUGUGGCAGAGGAGACUGGAAUUCCCGGUGUAGCAGUGAAAUGCGUAGAUAUCGGGAGGAAUACCGAUGGCGAAGGCAGGUCUCUGGGCUGACACUGACGCUCAUGCACGAAAGCGUGGGGAGCAAACAGG